CUACGGGAGGCUCCAGUGAGGAGUUUUGCGCAAUGGGGGAAACCCUGACGCAGCAACGCCGCGUGAGCGAAGAAGGCCUUCGGGUCGUAAAGCUCUGUCAAGUGGGAAAAACGUUUUCCGGUGAAUAGCCGGGAGAUCUGAUGGUACCAUUGAAGGAAGCACCGGCUAACUCCGUGCCAGCAGCCGCGGUAAUACGGAGGGUGCAAGCGUUGUUCGGAAUUAUUGGGCGUAAAGAGCGUGUAGGCGGUUUAGUAAGUCAGAUGUGAAAGCCCCGGGCUCAACCUGGGAAGUGCAUUUGAAACUGCUUUACUGGAGUAUGGGAGAGGAGAGUGGAAUUCCUGGUGUAGAGGUGAAAUUCGUAGAUAUCAGGAGGAACAUCUGUGGCGAAGGCGACUCUCUGGACCAAUACUGACGCUGAGACGCGAAAGCGUGGGUAGCAAACAGGAUUAGAUACCCCGGUAGUC
rnacentral:rRNA from 1 species